rnacentral:lncRNA from 1 species
GCCGACUGGAGACCCCUGGAGCCAGCUGCAGUCCAGACGCCUGUUUGUUGGGUGUGUAUGCUCGCUGACCUGCUGCCUGACCUCACUAACAUGGAAGGAAGCUGUUUGAGGGGGCAGGGUGGACCCACAGCCUGAAGUCUCCUCCGUCGUUGUCACCGUGACAUUCAGCACACCCACAAGAAGAACGCUGUCCCCGGAAGCUGCCGUGAGAAGUCUGAGGUCCCAUGAAAGGAACUAAGAGGGAGACGUUAAGGAGAAGGGACCCGGGACAGGCUUGAAUGGAGCGGCUGCCUCCCUCAGCCCAGGCCUCUCCUGACGGGAAUGAUGAAGCGGUGGGGAGACAGCGGAUUGAAAGAGAAGUCGGCUCAGCGGGGAAGCUCAGAUUGCCUUCCCGGACCACAGGCUGGGAACCAGGAGAGGAGACUGCGAGAUUGACAGGCCCGGUGCUGUCUGUAAUUAGAAAAUAA